AUUGAACGCUGGCGGCAGGCUUAACACAUGCAAGUCGAGCGGUAGCACAAGAGGGCUUGCUCUCUGGGUGACGAGCGGCGGACGGGUGAGUAAUGUCUGGGAAACUGCCUGAUGGAGGGGGAUAACUACUGGAAACGGUAGCUAAUACCGCAUAACGUCGCAAGACCAAAGAGGGGGACCUUCGGGCCUCUUGCCAUCAGAUGUGCCCAGAUGGGAUUAGCUAGUAGGUGGGGUAAUGGCUCACCUAGGCGACGAUCCCUAGCUGGUCUGAGAGGAUGACCAGCCACACUGGAACUGAGACACGGUCCAGACUCCUACGGGAGGCAGCAGUGGGGAAUAUUGCACAAUGGGCGCAAGCCUGAUGCAGCCAUGCCGCGUGUGUGAAGAAGGCCUUCGGGUUGUAAAGCACUUUCAGCGAGGAGGAAGGUGGUGAACUUAAUACGUUCAUCAAUUGACGUUACUCGCAGAAGAAGCACCGGCUAACUCCGUG
rnacentral:rRNA from 1 species